UACGUAGGGUGCGAGCGUUGUCCGGAAUUAUUGGGCGUAAAGAGCUCGUAGGCGGUGUGUCACGUCGGCCGUGAAAACCUGGGGCUUAACUCUGGGCGUGCGGUCGAUACGGGCAUCACUAGAGUUCGGCAGGGGAGACUGGAAUUCCUGGUGUAGCGGUGAAAUGCGCAGAUAUCAGGAGGAACACCGGUGGCGAAGGCGGGUCUCUGGGACGAUACUGACGCUGAGGAGCGAAAGCAUGGGUAGCGAACAGG
rnacentral:rRNA from 1 species